CCUACGGGUGGCUGCAGUGGGGGAUAUUGCACAAUGGGGGAAACCCUGAUGCAGCGACGCCGCGUGGGUGAAGAAGCGCCUCGGCGCGUAAAGCCCUGUCAGCAGGGGAGAAAAUGACGGUACCUGAAGAAGAAGCCCCGGCGAACUACGGGCCAGCUGCCGCGGUAAUACGGAGGGGGCAAGCGUUAUCCGGAUUUACUGGGGGUAAAGGGGGGGCAGACGGCGAUGCAAGUCAGGAGUGAAAGCCCGGGGCCCAACCCCGGGACUGCCCUUGGAACUGCGUGGCUAGAGUGCAGGAGGGGCAGGCGGAAUGCCUGGUGUAGCGGUGAAAUGCGUAGAUAUCAGGAGGAACACCGGUGGCGAAGGCGGCCUGCUGGACUGCAACUGACGUUGAGGCCCGAAAGCGUGGGGAGCAAACAGGAUUAGAUACCCCUGUAGUC
rnacentral:rRNA from 1 species